CGAAACCAGGUGAUCUACCCUUGGUCAGGUUGAAGUUCAGGUAACACUGAAUGGAGGACCGAACCGACUUACGUUGAAAAGUGAGCGGAUGAACUGAGGGUAGCGGAGAAAUUCCAAUCGAACCUGGAGAUAGCUGGUUCUCUCCGAAAUAGCUUUAGGGCUAGCCUCAAGUGAUGAUUAUUGGAGGUAGAGCACUGUUUGGACGAGGGGCCCCUCUCGGGUUACCGAAUUCAGACAAACUCCGAAUGCCAAUUAAUUUAACUUGGGAGUCAGAACAUGGGUGAUAAGGUCCGUGUUCGAAAGGGAAACAGCCCAGACCACCAGCUAAGGUCCCAAAAUAUAUGUUAAGUGGAAAAGGAUGUGGCGUUGCCCAGACAACUAGGAUGUUGGCUUAGAAGCAGCCAUCAUUUAAAGAGUGCGUAAUAGCUCACUAGUCGAGUGACACUGCGCCGAAAAUGUACCGGGGCUAAACAUAUUACCGAAGCUGUGGAUUGUCCUUUGGACAAUGGUAGGAGAGCGUUCUAAGGGCGUUGAAGCAUGAUCGUAAGGACAUGUGGAGCGCUUAGAAGUGAGAAUGCCGGUGUGAGUAGCGAAAGACGGGUGAGAAUCCCGUCCACCGAUUGACUAAGGUUUCCAGAGGAAGGCUCGUCCGCUCUGGGUUAGUCGGGUCCUAAGCUGAGGCCGACAGGCGUAGGCGAUGGAUAACAGGUUGAUAUUCCUGUACCACCUAUAAUCGUUUUAAUCGAUGGGGGGACGCAGUAGGAUAGGCGAAGCGUGCGAUUGGAUUGCACGUCUAAGCAGUAAGGCUGAGUAUUAGGCAAAUCCGGUACUCAUUAAGGCUGAGCUGUGAUGGGGAGAAGACAUUGUGUCUUCGAGUCGUUGAUUUCACACUGCCGAGAAAAGCCUCUAGAUAGAAAAUAGGUGCCCGUACCGCAAACCGACACAGGUAGUCAAGAUGAGAAUUCUAAGGUGAGCGAGCGAACUCUCGUUAAGGAACUCGGCAAAAUGACCCCGUAACUUCGGGAGAAGGGGUGCUCUUUAGGGUUAACGCCCAGAAGAGCCGCAGUGAAUAGGCCCAAGCGACUGUUUAUCAAAAACACAGGUCUCUGCUAAACCGUAAGGUGAUGUAUAGGGGCUGACGCCUGCCCGGUGCUGGAAGGUUAAGAGGAGUGGUUAGCUUCUGCGAAGCUACGAAUCGAAGCCCCAGUAAACGGCGGCCGUAACUAUAACGGUCCUAAGGUAGCGAAAUUCCUUGUCGGGUAAGUUCCGACCCGCACGAAAGGCGUAACGAUUUGGGCACUGUCUCAACGAGAGACUCGGUGAAAUCAUAGUACCUGUGAAGAUGCAGGUUACCCGCGACAGGACGGAAAGAC
rnacentral:rRNA from 1 species